UACGUAGGGGGCUAGCGUUGUUCGGAUUCAUUGGGCGUAAAGGGUGUGUAGGUGGCGCCGUAAGUCGGGUGUGAAAUUUCGGAGCUUAACUCCGAAACUGCAUUCGAUACUGGCGUGCUUGAGGACUGGAGAGGAGACUGGAAUUCAUGGUGUAGCAGUGAAAUGCGUAGAGAUCAUGAGGAAGACCAGUGGCGAAGGCGGGUCUCUGGACAGUUCCUGACACUGAGACACGAAGGCCAGGGGAGCAAACGGG
rnacentral:rRNA from 1 species